CUAGAACACCACCUGAACUGACUGCUAGAAAUGUCAGCUCUGGGCCUCCCUCGAGGGCUACCUGCCCGGGUAUCAGACCCACCAAAGUCUGAGAAGCGCCAAUUUGGACGAUGCCUCCAAAGCAUGUCUUCACUUUCGUGUCCCCAUGUGAGACACAGCUGUGAGGGACCUCUGGCCAUCUGACAGACCCUGGCAGCAGGGCCUUGCCUCAGUCACUGGGCAGAGCCGGGCCUCAGCAUAGGGAUUCUCUGUCUGCCCACUCCCCAGACAGAGACUGAGGCCUCGAGGGUCAGAGGCGCUGGCUCAAGAUUGGAGCAGAGCAGCAGGGUGGGGGUGGGGGGAUCGGCGGCCCCAGGACCAAGAGUACCAGCCAGCCUCCACUCACCUCAGCCUUAUACAUGCGGAUCAGACCCUGGUUCACUUUGGACCAGGAGGGGACGGCACUGAUGUUCCACAGCUGGUUGGAGUGCUCUGCAAAAGGGCCGGUCUUCAUCUGAAGAAAAGAAUCCAGAGCUGGAGAGGCGGGCCAUCUGGGAGCUCAUCCCGUUUCCCUGCGCCAAAAAAAGGAAGCCUGAUUCCCACCACCCACCACACUCAGCAGCCUCAGAAAAAUAAAAUCUCCACCCAAGCCCCUGCUGAGACUCCCGUCAACUCCCCCCAGCCGCAGAGCGCUCCAACAGCACGGGGACCUGCUCCCUUCCAGUUGCACCAGCCAUCCUGAUCCCCAGGUCUCCAGAGGCAACACCGUCUUUUCCAGACCGAAGCACACAGAACUGAACUCUGCACAGGCCUCCGGGUCCCUGUGUCCCAGCGACGGGCCUUCAGCCUCCCUGGGUCAGGGUGGGCCAGGCCAGGCCACUCAUUCACGGACCAGCAACAGGACACACUGGUGUGAGG